rnacentral:tRNA from 1 species
AUUACUUUGACAGAAAAGUGUGUUAAAUUUAGAAUUUAAUUAUAUGUAUUUAUUUUUAAUAUAUAAGUAAUA